AUUGAACAUCACCGUUCAAAGCUAUCGUGAUCAGCUCGAUUUCGGAUUCAUUGCGGGCGCGAACAUCAUUCCGCAUGUUGAAGUGCUGGCUAAUAUGCUGCCGAAGGAAUUCGAGCUUCUUGCCGCGGCCGUCGCGCCGCCCGGCAAUCGUGCAAGUGCGGCAAGCUGAGACGUGGCGCCUGCAAUGAUGGAAAUGCCGCCGCUUCAGUAUGCCGAGGUUAACGGCAUCCGCAU
rnacentral:misc_RNA from 1 species